rnacentral:misc_RNA from 1 species
UCCGAGUUGACCCCGGCAGUCUCCUAUGAGUCCCCACCAUCCCGAAGGACGUGCUGGCAACAUAGGACGAGGGUUGCGCUCGUUGCGGGACUUAACCCAACAUCUCACGACACGAGCUGACGACAGCCAUGCAGCACCUGUGUUGCGGUUCCCUUUCGGGCACCAAGACAUCUCUGUCCCGGACAUGUCAAGGGUAGGUAAGGUUCUUCGCGUUGCAUCGAAUUAAGCCACAUACUCCACCGCUUGUGCAGGCCCCCGUCAAUUUCUUUGAGUUUUAAUCUUGCGACCGUACUUCCCAGGCGGCACGUUUAACGCGUUAGCUUCGCCACGAAAGGAUUCGACACCUCUCACAGCAAACGUGCACCGUUUACAGCUAGGACUAC